rnacentral:rRNA from 1 species
AUUGAACGCUGGCGGCAGGCUUAACACAUGCAAGUCGAGCGGAGUGAUGGUGCUUGCACUAUCACUUAGCGGCGGACGGGUGAGUAAUGCUAGGAAUCUGCCUAUUAGUGGGGGACAACAUCUCGAAAGGGAUGCUAAUACCGCAUACGUCCUACGGGAGAAAGCAGGGGAUCACUUGUGACCUUGCGCUAAUAGAUGAGCCUAAGUCGGAUUAGCUAGUUGGUGGGGUAAAGGCCUACCCAGGCGACGAUCUGUAGCGGGUCUGAGAGGAUGAUCCGCCACACUGGGACUUAGCAACGGCCCAGACUCCUACGGGAGGCAGCAGUGGGGAAUAUUGGACAAUGGGGGGAACCCUGAUCCAGCCAUGCCGCGUGUGUGAAGAAGGCCUUAUGGUUGUAAAGCACUUUAAGCGAGGAGGAGGCUCUUUUGGUUAAUACCCAAGAUGAGUGGACGUUACUCGCAGAAUAAGCACCGGCUAACUCUGUGCCAGCAGCCGCCGUAA